CAUUCUACAUAAAACACUAACAUGAAAAGUUUGGUUAGUUUAAAGUUUUGUAAAAUAAAAAUAAUGAAAAAUGAAAUGAUGCAACAAACAAUUGCAAUUUGCAAGUAUAUUUAUCUACAGAAUGUGGAAAUAAAGUUUAUCCGAAUUUACUUUAUAUAACUACGUAUAGAAUCAACCAAAUUUAGUACUUUUAGAACGUUCUGCAAGAUUACAAGUGAAAAUGGUUGUUAUAUUAUGUUGAUAUCAAGACUGCUGCAAUUUCUAUUUAGGAAAUGUGACACUGGAAGGGCCUUAAGCUGACUAGGCCAUGUUCAUACAAUCAAAUUAUAAGGAUAGAGCCUACCUUGAUUAGUGGAUUACUGUGUAGAAUUAGUACUACCACUAAGCUCGUAGUCCGUAGCCACCAAGUUUAAUUGAUUUGAAGUGCGGUACUCUAUUGGUGGUAUCUGGGGCUUCUACUGAGUGCAAAUGUACCAACCAAGACCACAGAUUCAGGUUUUCAUGUGUUCGGAACCAACGAUAAGCUGCUACUAUAUGUCAAAACCCAUUCCAGUCCAGUACAAAUUGGAGACUAAUGCCAAAACUUGAAAUCGGACACAGCGAAAACCAACCAAGCGGAAAAUUAACCAAACAAGCUAACAAAGCUAACAAGCUAACAAGGCCUAAAACAAACCAAGCAUUAUGACAAUGGUUACAGUGUUAAAGUUAAGUAUUAUUUUUACUUCUAGCGAAUAAAUUAGUGAAUUCUGCUAAAAAUGAAUGUAAAAUGUGUUCUACUAAGCUAGCUUAAUUCACUAAAAUAAUUCUACCACUUUAAUAUGAAUUGAUAAUAUAUUCCUCCUCACCUUGUGAUGGAAUGUGGCCAAAAUUGUAGGUUUCACUUCGAAACUCUGUAAAAUAUCUAGGAAGCUAUAAAUCCCGGUCUUCCUGGUUCCUUAUUUUCAAACCGAUUUGAAAAAUAAGUUCAUACUUCCUAAAAUUACUUCCGAUAAAAUUUGGGGUGUAAAUCCUCUAACUAAGAGAAGUAGGACCUCCUAUCAUAUCACCAGUCAAAUUCCAUCUGAAGGAAGGAAAUGUGCCAAUGUCAGUCAAAUCUGACACUAGGAAAAAUAUAAUUACCAACUCAUGUUUUGAAAUCUGCAUUAAAGCUAGGUUCACCUAAUUGUUUACUAAAUUUUAGGGUACUUUGUGUACUAAUUUACUUCUGGUACUACUGUAACCUUUGACACAAUGACUUGACAAGACAAGGAUGUGACCUUAACCUAUGUUUACCAAUCAUGUAAACAUUGUCUGUAUACAUUUAUUUACUACAAUUAUUUUUUUUAGAUUCUUUAAACCAAAGAGGCUUCCUACCUCCAAAGGCUAUAAUAACCAGAACAGAUCUAACCGAACCAACAGAAAGCUUUUACUACCAAAGUAAUCGCUUUCUACAUACUGGCAACCAGAUAAACUACAUCCUCACCUGAAAAACUUUAUCAAGAUCUAUAAAAUAUAACAUUAUUAAGCUGUUAAUAUAUAAGCAAAUAAAAUCAUUUUUAACUUUA